CCCCUACGGGGGGCAGCAGUGGGGAAUCUUCCGCAAUGGGCGAAAGCCUGACGGAGCAACGCCGCGUGAUCGAAUGAAGGCCUUCGGGUUGUAAAGAUCUGUUGACAGGGACGAAUAAGCAAUGCGAAUAGUUUUGUGUAUGACGGUACCUGUUUAGAAAGCUCCGGCUAACUACGUGCCAGCAGCCGCGGUAAUACAUAGGGGGCAAGCGUUAUCCGGAAUUAUUGGGUGUAAAGGGUGCGUAGACGGAAGAACAAGUUGGUUGUGAAAUCCCUCGGCUCAACUGAGGAACUGCAACCAAAACU
rnacentral:rRNA from 1 species